GAAGAGAGAAGGUAUGAGACAGCUGGCUCUCUAUAGGAAGAGAGACGGCUAGGUAGCCUAGUGGUUAGAGCGUUGGGCUAGUAACCGAAUGGCUUCAAGUUCAAAUCCCUGAGCUGACAAGGUACCAAUCUGUCAUUCUGCCCCUGAACAAGGCAGUUAACCCACUGCCCUCUAUAGCAAGAGAGAAGUAAUGAGACAGCUGGCCCUCUAUAGCAAGAGAGAAGUAAUGAGACAGCUGGCCCUCUAUAGCAAGAGAGAAGUAAUGAGACAGCUGGCCCUCUAUAGCAAGAGAGAAGUAAUGAGACAGCUGGCCCUCUAUAGCAAGAGAGAAGUAAUGAGACAGCUGGUCCUCUAUAGCAAGAGAAAAGUAAAUGAGACAGCUGGCCCUCUAUAGCAAGAGAGAAGUAAUGAGACAGCUGGCCCUCUAUAGCAAGAGAGAAUUAAUGAGAAAGCUGGUCCUCUAUAGCAAGAGAAGGUAUGAGACAGCUGGCCCUCUAUAGCAAGAGAGAAGUAAUGAGACAGCUGGUCCUCUAUAGCAAGAGAGAAGUAAAUGAGACAGCUGGCCCUCUAUAGCAAGAGAGAAGUAAUGAGACAGCUGGUCCUCUAUAGCAAGAGAAGGUAUGAGACAGCUGGCCCUCUAUAGCAAGAGAAGGUAUGAGACAGCUGGCCCUCUAUAGCAAGAGAAGGUAUGAGACAGCUGGCCCUCUAUAGCAAGAGAGAAGGUAUGAGGCAGCUGUCCCUCUAUAGCAAGAGAGAAGUAAAUGAGACAGCUGGCCCUCUAUAGCAAGAGAGAAGUAAUGAGACAGCUGGUCCUCUAUAGCAAGAGAAGGUAUGAGACAGCUGGCCCUCUAUAGCAAGAGAAGGUAUGAGACAGCUGGCCCUCUAUAGCAAGAGAAGGUAUGAGACAGCUGUCCCUCUAUAGCAAGAGAAGGUAUGAGACAGCUGGCCCUCUAUAGCAAGAGAGAAGGUAUGAGGCAGCUGUCCCUCUAUAGCAAGAGAGAAGGUAUGAGACAGCUGUCAAUAUAGAGGCUCGCUGGAUGUUGCCAAAGAAAAAGAAACUGUUAGUUUUAUUGUAAUUAAAAUAUCAUAUUUAUGAUGAUAGGUUAAUAAUAUAUAUAUAUAUACAUAUAUAUAGAAUUAUUAACCUAUUUUACCUAAUGUUCUAAUAAUUUUUUAGAGCCGCUGUCAGUCACAUGCCCUUACAAUCAUCCUAACCCCCCCAAUAUGAUGCCCCUGUGUCCAAUGCAGGCCUCCCCACCAGCCAUGGUUCCCUGGUGUGUCAGUUAGUGUGUGUGUGUAAAAUGCAGGCCUUCCCACCAGCCAUGGUUCCCUGGUG